CUCGCUGGAGCUGCUGACGGCUCCGGUUGGUUGGAGGAUGUCUUCGGCCCCGACCGGAGGUGUUCUGGGCAGCCUGAUCUGCAGCGGCUGACACGACAGAGCAAGGCCCAGAAAUGCCGACGGUGCUUCAUUCGAUACAAAGGAGGUGUCUAAACAGGAGGGUCUGGCGACGGCACCAGAAAGUGGCCAGAGAAGAACCUUCAGCCGAGCCCUGGGUUUCAGCUGUGGAACACUGCACUGAUGGGUCUUGACACGAAGCUAUGUAAGUGGUGUGUACCAUAGCCAUGUGUAUGUCCAAAUGAGCUUCCUGUUCGUCUUUCAGAGAGCUGCGAUGCCAAGCAAAUUAAUGCUUUUGGGAUAAAAUAACGGAUGAAUGACAUAAAACUGGAGCCCGUUGGAUGUAAACGUUCAUCCAGCAAUUCUGUCGAGACACUUAAACAUUUAUCAUAGAUUCCUGUCUGUGUGGGUGAGAGACAGGCUGUGAGGCUUCAGCAGUCGAAAGCUUCUGUUUCCAUUAUAUGUCCGGUUUCCAUAAUUCAGUUGACGAAUUUGUGUUCCUGACUACAAAAGCCCACAGAUGCAUAUGACUGCAAUGACUAAAGUUCUCUUUUUUUUCAGAAAAGCAAAAUGUUUUAAUUU